rnacentral:rRNA from 1 species
UUGUCCAGCAAUGGACGACUGAGUGGCGAACGGGUGAGUAACACGUGGGUGACCUACCUUCGAGUGGGGGAUAACGUCCCGAAAGGGACGCUAAUACCGCAUAACAUCCUGCCUUUGAACAGGCGGUGAUCAAAGCCGGGGACCGUAAGGCCCGGCGCUUGAUGAGGGGCUCGCGUCUGAUUAGCUAGUUGGUGAGGUAAUGGCCCACCAAGGCGACGAUCAGUAUCCGGCCUGAGAGGGCGGACGGACACACUGGGACUGAGACACGGCCCAGACUCCUACGGGAGGCAGCAGUGGGGAAUUGUUCACAAUGGGCGCAAGCCUGAUGACGCAACGCCGCGUGGAGGAUGAAGGUCUUCGGAUUGUAAACUCCUGUUGCCCGGGACGAAAAGCUUCGACCUAACACGUCGAGGUCUGACGGUACCGGGUGAGGAAGCCCCGGCUAACUCUGUGCCAGCAGCCGCGGUAAUACAGAGGGGGCAAGCGUUGUUCGGAAUUACUGGGCGUAAAGGGCGCGUAGGCGGCCUUCUAAGUCGAACGUGAAAUCCCUGGGCUCAACCCAGGAACUGCGUCCGAUACUGGAAGGCUUGAAUCCGGGAGAGGGAUGCGGAAUUCCAGGUGUAGCGGUGAAAUGCGUAGAUAUCUGGAGGAACACCGGUGGCGAAGGCGGCAUCCUGGACCGGUAUUGACGCUGAGGCGCGAAAGCCAGGGGAGCAAACGGGAUUAGAUACCCCGGUAGUCCUGGCCCUAAACGAUGAAUGCUUGGUGUGGCGGGUAUCGAUCCCUGCCGUGCCGAAGCUAACGCA